GAUGAACGCUGGCGGCGUGCUUAACACAUGCAAGUCGAACGGAAAGGCUCCUGCUUGCAGGGGUACUCGAGUGGCGAACGGGUGAGUAACACGUGGGUGAUCUGCCCUGCACUUCGGGAUAAGCCUGGGAAACUGGGUCUAAUACCGGAUAGGACGAUGGUUUGGAUGCCAUUGUGGAAAGUUUUUCGGUGUGGGAUGAGCUCGCGGCCUAUCAGCUUGUUGGUGGGGUAAUGGCCUACCAAGGCGUCGACGGGUAGCCGGCCUGAGAGGGUGUACGGCCACAUUGGGACUGAGAUACGGCCCAGACUCCUACGGGAGGCAGCAGUGGGGAAUAUUGCACAAUGGGCGCAAGCCCGAUGCAGCGACGCCGCGUGGGGGAUGACGGCCUUCGGGUUGUAAACUCCUUUCGCUAGGGACGAAGCGCAAGUGACGGUACCUGGAGAAGAAGCACCGGCUAACUACGUG
rnacentral:rRNA from 1 species